rnacentral:lncRNA from 1 species
UAUCCUCCACUGCCUCUACUCCAGGUCAUCCCAGGACUAUGCCUGUGAGCUAAUGCCAAGAUGGAAAAAAAUGGAUGGGUGCCUUUUUUCUAGUGUAUUUGUGUAAAGACUCCCCAAGAGCUCAAGAGGGAGUUGCUGCUCUGCAAAUGACAAAAGGUGUGUAGCUGCAAGCCAAUCAGGCAGAACAUUUAACAUCGUCCUGGCCAUUAAUGACUAAGCCUGCACCAGCUCAAAAGUGGUCGGAAACAGACGUCAGACUAUGGGACAGCUAAAACAUUGAUUCUCAGGGAUGUCGUCCAAGAGGAGGUCUCUGAAGCUGGGUGUCAUCCUUUAGGGUGGCCCAGAAUAAAAUGGUGACACAUUAUGCCUCCUGGCGAGUUCAUAAACACUUUGAACGGCAAAGACACCAAGUCCCGGGGACUUCCAACGAAGAUCUUGGGGCAAGAAAAAAGUCCCUGCCAGGCUGUAUCUCCUUGACUCCUGGGGGAAAAGCUGUAAAGAGAUUGAAGAGGGCACCUAAGAGAGAGAUAGAUGGCCUUUGUCUUGUUUGCAGUUUCACUAAUGAGGUUUCCAGAUAUAAAAUCUGGCUUCUGUCAAGUCUAAAUGUGAAUCAGAUUCUGAGUAUUUCUGCAACUAACAAUAUGGUCACCACCAAACUACUUCUGCAAAGAAAGAAAAGGCUUCAUAAUAGUUACUGCUUCUGGCACCAAGAGAUGGACAGUGUAUUUUACUAAAAGAUUAGCCACUAGAUGUUGUAACAGUAGAUACUUAAUUAUUGGGGAAGUAACUCAUGGUUUUUGCAGAUACAAAUGUCCAGCACCAGCUCCUUCUUGCCUAGCAGAAUAAAGCUGAUUCACAGGUGGCUGGAAGAGCUUCUUCUAACCUCUUCUGUAACAUCUAGUAGAAAGACAGCAGAUAUCUACACAGAGAAAUGAUCUGAUUGUACAAUCUUCCCAUCCACAAGGACUUCUCAGAGCAGAUGACAUCAAAUUUCAAGAUUCCAUAUACGAGAUCAAUUUGUUUUCCUGAUGUUUUCAACCUUGCUGUCAUGGGUGCAUUAAAGGAAAUACACCUCAAAAAGCUCAACUUUAAAGGUGUAGUGGCUGCAAAAUGAAAAUCAUUCUCUGUUUAUCCACCAAGUUUAGGCUCCGGCACUAUAAAAACAUCUAACAUAUAAUUUUUUAUUUAUUUAUUUAUGUUUUUUAGAGACAGGGUCUCACUCUGUGGCCCAGGCUGGUCUUGAACUCCUAGCCUCAGGCGAUCCCACCGCCUUGGCCUCCCAAAGCACUGGGAUUCGAGGCAUGAGCCACCGUGCCCAGCCUCUAACAUCUAAAUUUAUAAUGAAGCACUGUUUCAAGGGGUAACUGGGAAUUGCACAUACCCAAGGGAUUGGACUCUUGCAUUUCUUCACCAUUCCAGCUCCAUCUCAAUAUUGUUCUAGUGGGCUAACUCAAUUAAGCAAAGACAUGUCUUUUCAUCCUACAACUUCGGAAAUGCAAAUAAUUUCUGGGGUAUCUUGGCUGUACAAGGAGAUGGAGAAGAGAGCUGAACUACAAGUCAGAAAAUCAGGUUUACAGCACAGGCUACAUGUAUUUCUAACCACUGGAAUCUAGUAAAUCAGUCAACCUCGUAGG